rnacentral:rRNA from 1 species
GAGAGGUGCUGCAUGGCUGUCGUCAGCUCGUGUUGUGAAAUGUUGGGUUAAGUCUCGCAACGAGCGCAACCCCUAUCGUCUGUUGCCAGCAUUAAGUUGGGCACUCUGACGAGACUGCCUGGGUUAACCAGGAGGAAGGUGGGGAUGACGUCAAGUCCUCAUGCCCUUAUGUCUAGGGCUACACACGUAAUACAAUGGCGCGUACAAAGGGAAGCGAACUCGCAAGGGGGAGCAAUCUCAAAAAGCGCGUCUCAGUCCGGAUUGGGGUCUGCAACUCGACUCCAUGAAGUUGGAAUCGCUAGUA